rnacentral:rRNA from 1 species
AGUGAACGCUGGCGGUAGGCCUAACACAUGCAAGUCGAACGGCAGCACAGUAAGAGCUUGCUCUUACGGGUGGCGAGUGGCGGACGGGUGAGGAAUACAUCGGAAUCUACUUUUUCGUGGGGGAUAACGUAGGGAAACUUACGCUAAUACCGCAUACGACCUACGGGUGAAAGCAGGGGAUCUUCGGACCUUGCGCGAUUGAAUGAGCCGAUGUCGGAUUAGCUAGUUGGCGGGGUAAAGGCCCACCAAGGCGACGAUCCGUAGCUGGUCUGAGAGGAUGAUCAGCCACACUGGAACUGAGACACGGUCCAGACUCCUACGGGAGGCAGCAGUGGGGAAUAUUGCACAAUGGGCGCAAGCCUGAUCCAGCCAUACCGCGUGGGUGAAGAAGGCCUUCGGGUCGUAAAGCCCUUUUGUUGGGAAAGAAAAGCAGCAGGUUAAUACCCCGCUGUUCUGACGGUACCCAAAGAAUAAGCACCGGCUAACUUCGUG